UGGCGUACGGGCGAGUAACACGUGACUAACCUACCCUCGAGUGGGGAAUAAUCUCGGGAAACCGGGGCUAAUACCGCAUAACCUACGGCAAAUGCGAGCUUGAGGAGGGGGUCGCGGCUGAUUAGCUAGUUGGCGGGGUAAUGGCCCACCAAGGCAGUGAUCAGUAGCCGGCCUGAGAGGGCGCACGGACACACUGGAACGGAGACACGGUCCAGACUCCUACAGGAGGCAGCAGUGGGGAAUUUUGCGCAAUGGGGGAAACCCUGACGCAGCAACGCCGCGUGGAGGAUGAAGCCCCUUGGGGUGUAAACUCCUUUCGAUCGGGACGAUUGACGGUACCGGAUGAAGAAGCACCGGCUAACUCUGUGCCAGCAACCGCGGUAAUACAGAGGG
rnacentral:rRNA from 1 species